AGAUUGAACGCUAGCGGGAUGCUUUACACAUGCAAGUCGAACGGCAGCGCGGACUUCGGUCUGGCGGCGAGUGGCGAAUGGGUGAGUAAUAUAUCGGAACGUGCCCGGUAGCGGGGGAUAACUACGCGAAAGCGUGGCUAAUACCGCAUACGCCCUACGGGGGAAAGGGGGGAUCGCAAGACCUCUCACUAUUGGAGCGGCCGAUAUCAGAUUAGCUAGUUGGUGAGGUAAAGGCUCACCAAGGCGACGAUCCGUAACUGGUCUGAGAGGAUGAUCAGUCACACUGGAACUGAGACACGGUCCAGACUCCGUACGGGAGCCAGCAGUGGGGAAUA
rnacentral:rRNA from 1 species